GAUGAACGCUAGCGGCAGGCCUAAUACAUGCAAGUCGAACGGUGUCUUCGGACAUAGUGGCGCACGGGUGCGUAACACGUAUGCAACCUACCUUACAUUGGGGGAUAGCCUUUCGAAAGGGAGAUUAAUACCGCAUAAGACAGUAGCUGGGCAUCCAGCAGCUGUUAAAGAUUUAUCGAUGUAAGCUGGGCAUGCGUCCAAUUAGCUAGUUGGUGAGGUAACGGCUCACCAAGGCAAUGAUUGGUAGGGGAACUGAGAGGUCAAUCCCCCACACUGGCACUGAGAUACGGGCCAGACUCCUACGGGAGGCAGCAGUAGGGAAUCUUGGGCAAUGGACGCAAGUCUGACCCAGCCAUGCCGCGUGCAGGAUGAAGGCGUUAUGCGUUGUAAACUGCUUUUAUACAGGAAGAAACGACUCUUGCGAGAGGCAUUGACGGUACUGUAUGAAUAAGCACCGACUAACUCCGUGCCAGCAGCCGCCGUAACAC
rnacentral:rRNA from 1 species